AGCAAAAGGAUGGUGGCCUUUCACAUCCUGGUGCAGUGCAUCAGUUACACGCUCAGAAAAUGGAGAGUUACAUUUAAAACUGGAGCAUCAGUCCUAUCUUCUGGAACUGAGCCCUCCUGGCCCAGCUGUUAUCCCAUAUGGGCAGCCUGACUUACCUAGAUGGACCACUCAGGACAGGGCCUUGAAUGGUGCCACCAAAGGAGAUUCCUGGCCCACCCACAUGGUGAGGCCCCCAGGGUGCCAACGGCAGCUUCAAUCCAGCCUACAUCUGCCACUUGGCUUUUGGACCUGGCCAGUAGAACCCUGCCCCCAUGGGCCAGCCCUCCAUUCAGAUAUGGAGGCCAGCUGGAUUUGGCCUGUGGGCACAAUCCCUGUUCUCAAUGAAAGGAUGGAUCCCUGAUGUGGAAUGACAUAUUGCCAAAUACCUGCACCCCAGGUUGUGCCCACAUAGAUGCCUGCAACAGCACACA